AUGAACGCUGGCGGCGUGCCUAAUCCAUGCAAGUCGCGCGAACAGACGAGGAGCUUGCUCCUCUGACGUUCGCGGCGGACGGGUGAGUAACACGUGGAUAACCUACCUAUAAGACUGGGAUAACUUCGGGAAACCGGAGCUAAUACCGGAUAAUAUAUUGAACCGCAUGGUUCAAUAGUGAAAGACGGUUUUGCUGUCACUUAUAGAUGGAUCCGCGCCGCAUUAGCUAGUUGGUAAGGUAACGGCUUACCAAGGCAACGAUGCGUAGCCGACCUGAGAGGGUGAUCGGCCACACUGGAACUGAGACACGGUCCAGACUCCUACGGGAGGCAGCAGUAGGGAAUCUUCCGCAAUGGGCGAAAGCCUGACGGAGCAACGCCGCGUGAGUGAUGAAGGUCUUCGGAUCGUAAAACUCUGUUAUUAGGGAAGAACAAAUGUGUAAGUAACUAUGCACGUCUUGACGGUACCUAAUCAGAAAGCCACGGCUAACUACGUG
rnacentral:rRNA from 1 species